UUCUUUAUGUUCUUCUUGUGUUCUCCAUAUAUAUUGUUUAUUUAUUUUAUCUUCCAUGUGUCACAUCUGUUUUGCUCAACUAAUUUUGUUGGUCCCUAAUACGUAUUGGGUAAUGAUGUUGGACCUGUUUAGUUUCAUCAUGCUUAUAUCUGAAAUACUCUUUUUAUACAUGCUCAAAUAGUUACAUACUUAUACAAUGGGUCCUUGUUUUAUAGCUGUUUGAUGAAACUACCAUACGACGAUUCAAUUGCAGUAACGUUGACUUCAAAACUAUUAUGCCCCAUUUUUCAUUCGUCAUGGUAAAGACUUUUAUGCGGUGCACUAAUGCUUGAAACAAAAUUUUCAAUCAAAAUAUGGGCACAGAAGUGAAGUUUUAGUAGUUUUAUGCAAAGCAUAUUGGUAAGUUGGGUUAAUUAUGGGUUUGCCAAUUGCGAUGAAGGGCAGGGUAUAUUGGGCCAGUGCCUAGUAAAGAGUGUUGUGUAGCCUUUUAGAAGCAUGGCCAAUAUCUUAUUAUAAGAAGGCCUAGAGUUCUUCAUUGGCUAGUGUUUACCGAAUUUUAUUUGGGGCUUGUUUUUCAAGAGAACGAAGUUGCUUAUCAAGAACCAAUUGAAAAAUAAUUAGUAUUAGACGCAAAAACUAUCCUUUUAACAGAGAAAAUCUGUGGACACAACUUUUGUGCCACAACUUUGAUGUGGCUAAUUGUGAAUGGUGGAGAUAAAGUGGUAGGUUUAUAUGAAAGUGAUAAACAGUCACUCACAAUCUGUCACGUUAGAGUUGUGACAAAAAUUGUGAUCCUAGAAGAGUAGCGUUAAGAAGGAAACUAACAAUAAAUAUUCUUUCAGUUACUUGAUUUGUUGCGAUCAUCAUAAUAGCAAGUGUUUAGGCCGUUACUCUUACCCCUUUUAAUAGGUGCCAUUCAUGUGUUGAUAUUGGUGGCUACUUACCAUUGCAUCAUUACAUGCAAUUCUUCAAAACUACACCUCAAUAGUGCUUGUAGUAACUGGUAACCUUGAAAUUUAGCUAUCAACUGUCUCAAACUCCAAUAAAUCCCAGAUUAGAAAGGAGAGAGGUAAACAUAUAACUAUGAUCGCACUUUGGAAAACAAAGAGAUAAAGAAAUUACUAUCAUCCCAUAGUGAAAAGUUGUAAAUAAUGAAUUGUAUUUGAAGCCUUACAUACAGGCAUUAGUGUUAGGGAUGUGGAGGCUUUAAUCCAGGUGAGGGAUUUGGCCCAAAGUGGUCAUCACAUGAGUAGUUUGGUGGAUUUUGGGAUUGAAAGAUGACUUUGGGGCUUAAACGUGCAUGCAUUUUGGUUGGCUUUGCCCAUGGAUGUAGGCAUGAAAUUGAUUGAUCAUGCUAAAAUUUUCUGUAACAUGUGGAUGGCUUGUAUCAUCUUUUCUAUAAGUGUGCAUCUGCUAGCCCCAAAUUUAAGCAUACUGAUAGUUUUUGUUCAACAGUGGAAUGCACAAGCUGGAUUUUUCAUGACUAUUUAAAACUGUUACAUAAAUGAAUGUGUGGCAAAUAAUCUACCAUAUUUCAGUCUCAGACAUUUUAAGUACCCACAACUUGAGCCUUCUACCUGGACAUAUCACAUCAGAAAUCCCUCUUUCCAUAACUGGAGUAGGAUUCUAAAACGGUCAUUCAUUGAAUCUUUUUGUAAAGCAGAAGAUCAAAACAACAUAAUCUUUUUGUACAGCAGAAGAUCAAAACAACAUAAUGAGCCUAUUAAGCAAAGUUUACAUGGAAAUCUCUCAUUGCCAUUAGGAACUCGAAUUGUCUACAUUUCAACAGUUAGAAUAUCGCAGAGCAAAAGAGCCUGUGUCCCAGCAAGGACUGUUCUACUCAUAUCAUUGGAACCUUGAUGUAAUUUUGGAAGGUAACAUAUGUCACAACUCACAAGGUCAUCCUCACUUGAUAUGAGCUUUUCCUUUGGUAAGUGCAUUCUAUGGUUUUGGGCCAUGAGUGGGUCUAACCAUCUCUAAAGGGUUUAGUAUCUGGUCAUUUGCUAUCAACAAAGUGCAUGAUAUGAAGUCAGUUAACUCUGGAAGAUGAAUGAAUUUUAAAAACUUCAGUCCCUGCAUGUGCUUUGUAAUGGUGGGGCUAACUUAACCGCCCACAAUCUCAGUUGGCAACAAUGUCCCUUUUUGAAGCACAUUGACAAGCUUUCAUGAGUUCUGCUCAUUGUAUGACAGGGACAUUGGUCGUAAUUUUAUAUCUGUUAUCUUUCCUUUCUAUUUUCAAUAUGGUUCCCCCUGUGGCAGGCAGUAAUUUAAUCAAUCAUGGCAGUAAUUUAAUCAAUCAUAUGAAGUAUGUGAAACUAUGUAAAUUUGGAUGCCACUGUGCUUUUCAACCAAGGUAUUUCAACUCUAGCUUCCCCUAUUAAAACCGUUCCACAAUUGACACAAAAAUAGUUCAUAUCAACAGUGAUAAAAUACUGCAAGACACUCAAAAUACACACAAUUUGGUGACAUGCUGUGAUUAAGGUACUUUUCCAAAGCAGAUUCUGUGUAAUUGAAGACUCCAUUGACUCCCAAAAAUAAGAGGGAACCAAAAAAAAGAAAAAAA